CUCCAAAAAGCCAUUUUGCAACCAGUUAGAGGUACACAAAGUCGCCUGUUUUUGAAACACUUUAUCGUUCGUAAAACACUCAAGCUUCAUUGUAUCAAUAUGCAACUCAAGAACAAAAUGAGUCUCUCAGAGGGGGAAAAGAUGGUAUUUCUAGUUAAAGUGUGACGCGGCUACUAACGCAUGCAUUGAUUUACUGAACAAAAAAA